GAAGAUUUUUAUCAAUAUGAAGGUUCAUUUAACCAUUUUUUGAUGUUAUUUUCUGCGAUAACAAUAUUUUCUGCAAGGGCCCAUCAACAAUAUUGGUCUCUGGCAAAAAUAAUGUUGGACGAAUUCUUUAGACACUUUGGGAAAUAUUAUGGACGGUCUAACAUAACCAGCAAUGUUCAUAACCUUCAGCAUGUUGCUCAUGAAGUUGAAAAGCUUGGGCCUCUGGAUUUAUAUUCCGCAUACGAUUAUGAAAAUAAUUUAAGAUUUAUUAAGCAAGACGUAAAAUCAGGCACUAAUAUAGUUGAACAAGUAGCUGGUCGUCUAACCGAACGCAGUCAAGUAGUAAAAGCCAAAAACAUCGCGAAACUUAUAUACCCGAGACUUAGACCAAACGGCCGUUUCUUUAUUACCGAGGAUUUUUCCCUUCACACACAGUUCCAGAACCAAUGGUUUUUAACUGAAGAAAGGAAUAUUAUUAAAUUUGUAAAAGCAAAGAAAGAUGCUUGUGAUUCCUUUAUAAUUGUUGGCGAUUUAAUCGAAUCAUGUGAGGAACUUUUUAAUGUAGUGUCUGAUGAGGACAAUGUGAUAACAGAUAUACAUUUAUCAUCGACUGAAAUUUGUAUCUACAAAGUUAAGCUUAAUGUCCCUACAAUAAGGGUAGAGGUCCCCUGUACAUCUGUGCUAUGUAAGCUCGUUCCAAUUUUUAAACCAUCGCGGUCUUUAUUGCAAAUGCCUGUAAGGACAACACCCCAGCCAAAUUCAAUAGCUUUAUUUCCUUUGUUACACACGUUUAGGAACGCAUAAUAUGUAAAAUAGUUUAUUAAAAAUUAAUCAACUAAAAACAAGUCGUUUAUUUAUUUACUAAUCGUGAUUUUAACAUUAAUAAAUGACAUGAUUUUUAUUAAUUUAAAAUUUCAGUUAAAUAAAUAACUUUGGUUUUUGCGGCACCGCAUCGAACUCAAAAUAGAAAAGAGCUUAUGGGUACCAACUGUAAAAGUAAACGAACGAACAUAUUUUAAUAGUUCACGUAUAUUUAACUAAACAUUAUUUAUAGAGCCCAGGUCUAUUCCAUCUCUUAUAAAACUAAUAUGUUCCUAACAAAGUAAUAGUCAACAAUACUAAAAUAACUUAACUAGUUCGUUUGUUUUUUGUUUCGCUUGUGCGCUUUAUGCACUACGCUUUUAGUUAUUCCUCUUGUUAAGCUUGCACUUUUUGCAUUACUAAUUUUGUUUUUUAAGAAUUGCUCGACAUCUUUUUCUGUUGUCUGGGCACCUCCUACCCGUUUGAAGACAUUCAGAAUGUUUCGGUAUGCCACUAACGCUACCUUUUCCGAGCCAUUUCGCGAAACACCUCUCCAAUUGCACUGUACCACAAACUUACGACAGAACACAUUGUAAAAUGAUUCGUGAAUCCUUUGAAAUUUAUCUGUUGAUUGCAUUUGUGCUUUUAACCAGUUUUCUAACGCUUCUGCAUUAGAUGUUAAUGAAAGACUGGACUCUAAACUGUCCAGUUGUUGCUUGUUGGUAACGACCGCAGGAUGAAACAUCGGUCGCUGGACAGUGCUUUCUGUUUCCAGAUUAGUUUCGUUGCUUCUUUCCUUAAAUGCAUUCGUAUUUACAAUAUCCUUUAUUGCAACAGAAAUGCCAGCCACCACCGUGGUCAUUCGUGCCGUUUGCACAAGAUUUGCUUGUGUAGCAGAUUUGAUAAGCUGCAACUCCUGCAAAAUGUUUUCUCCAGGAUUGUUCGCCAUUUUGUUCUUGACUGUAACAUUACCAAAAUAUUAAAUGGAAAUAUUUUAACAAUUUGUGGUAACUACUUACUUUUGUGAACUAAAUUAUCGUUUAACUAAGCGUAUUGUAAUCGCAAAAUUUAAGCAGUCCACAAUCUGUUUCGGCGUACAUAAACAAGUGCAUUCACGUUUGAAUCUUCAACAUAGAAUGGAAAAGGUUUUGCAUGAAAAACAGUCAACCUUAUGUCAUAUAGAGGCUAAAAAUAAUUCAAGUGAAUAUUUUCUUGGAGAUUGUUAAAUUAUUUCGCCGUAAAGUUAUAAUUUAGAACAUAUAUUUAUUUCUGAUUUAAAUAUAAUUUAAAAUAAUGACGACAAUGCCCUUUUUCAAAUAGUUUUAGGCUUUAAAAAGAAAUAUAACACACAUACACCAUCAAUAAUAUUGACAUUAUGGCUGCUGUCACAAUUAUUGACCGACCUGUCUCAAAGCAAUGUUAGCGCGUUUGACAGUUCAAUCAUUGUUGGUGUUUGCAGCAGCCAUGGCGAGCAAAAGAAAUCUGUUUGCCAAAAAAGUUGUCUUUACAAGGCAAAAUAGCUAGUUCAUGUAAGUUAAAUUGUAAUAUAAUGUCCCAUUAAGUAUUUUUUAACAGGUGUGUCGCAAAUUCUAAGCGUGAUGUGAAUAACAAGACGAAAAAAGGAUCCUCGAAAUUGCUCAACAGCUAGCAAUCAACAGCACCAUGCUUCACUGCAUUACCAAUGAAUGCAUUUAUUCUACGCUGUGCCAUUCAACUAUGGUGUAAAAUACUUCAUGAACACACGGAGGAAAUCAUCACACGAAGAAGUGCCGGUACAGAAGGAAAAAGGCCCCCGAAAGAGUGAUAAAUUAGUCGAUGAAGUGAAGAUUAUUAUUAUAAUGCGUUGUAAAUUGCUUAUUGUUACGUAAAAUGUUAAAAUAUAUCCCUUUUUUGAAACGA